GCACUGCUGACGAGUCCCAAACCGGACGAAACAGCUGUCUACUGCAC
rfam:Echinostoma caproni strain Egypt genome assembly, scaffold: ECPE_scaffold0005484